AUUGAACGCUGGCGGCAGGCCUAACACAUGCAAGUCGAACGGUAACAGGAAGCAGCUUGCUGCUUUGCUGACGAGUGGCGGACGGGUGAGUAAUGUCUGGGAAACUGCCCGAUGGAGGGGGAUAACUACUGGAAACGGUAGCUAAUACCGCAUAACGUCGCAAGACCAAAGAGGGGGACCUUAGGGCCUCUUGCCAUCGGAUGUGCCCAGAUGGGAUUAGCUAGUAGGUGGGGUAACGGCUCACCUAGGCGACGAUCCCUAGCUGGUCUGAGAGGAUGACCAGCCACACUGGAACUGAGACACGGUCCAGACUCCUACGGGAGGCAGCAGUGGGGAAUAUUGCACAAUGGGCGCAAGCCUGAUGCAGCCAUGCCGCGUGUAUGAAGAAGGCCUUCGGGUUGUAAAGUACUUUCAGCGGGGAGGAAGGGAGUAAAGUUAAUACCUUUGCUCAUUGACGUUACCCGCAGAAGAAGCACCGGCUAACUCCAUG
rnacentral:rRNA from 1 species